UACGUAGGGUGCAAGCGUUGUCCGGAAUUAUUGGGCGUAAAGAGCUCGUAGGCGGUCUGUCACGUCGGGCGUGAAAAUCCAGGGCUUAACCCUGGACCUGCAUUCGAUACGGGCAGACUAGAGUUCGGUAGGGGAGACUGGAAUUCCUGGUGUAGCGGUGAAAUGCGCAGAUAUCAGGAGGAACACCGGUGGCGAAGGCGGGUCUCUGGGCCGAUACUGACGCUGAGACGCGAAAGCGUGGGGAGCAAACGGG
rnacentral:rRNA from 1 species